UAACUAUGACACUGCUGGCAACACAAUCCUUUCUUUAUUUCUUUGCAUCUUUCUUACUUGCCUCUGUUCUCUUUCAGUUGUUGAAACUAGGGCUGUCAAAAUUAACGCGUUAACGCGGAUUAAUCCAGCACCAUAAUUAAUCAGAUUAAUUUUUUAAAAACGCAAUUAAUGAAUCUGCAGCGUAGAAUGACUCAAAAUCCCUGAAACAAGGUACUUCAGGUAUUGUAAAUUUUCACCGGCGCAGCUUUUCGAGUGUUUACGGCAUUAGUUUAUCACCUCAGGAAACACAGACCAAUUAGGUACGAGUUCAGUCAUCCCACAUGAUGCUACUCAGCCAAUGAACUGGUCUCUGCAUUCCUGCCUAAACAUUGCAGCUGAGUUCAGAAAGCAGGUGAGGGACAGACAAGAGGAGGACGGACAAAAAGAUCAACAAGAAAAGCACUUAGAGAAUACAGUGCUCCGCCAAGACUGUUCAUUCCUCAGUUUGUAUUCAGAAAUCACGGCAACAUAGAAUCUGAUCAUUUAAUAUAGUGUUAACCGUUCCUGCUCAGCUGUCCGACCGUGGUCAGAAAGCACAGGGGAGGUCGGUUCUCCAGGGCCGAAGUUACCUUGGUUCACUUCGGGGUUAACCCCGUUCACUUCACCAGUGGUUGUGGAAGGCAAAACACAGGAGCCGUACAGUUGCACUAACCCAGAAGCUACACUUCUUAACUCUUCUUCUCUUUACCGGCUCUCAUCUUCACUCGCUCUCACUGCAUUCAGGGCCACUCGGAUAUCUCGCUCUCUCUCGCUCUCUCUCUCUCUCUCUCUCUCACACACACACACACACACACGCUGCUUUCUCUCUCUCACAACGGAGCCACACACUCUUAUAACAAUAGAUCGACCCACAAACUAACUAAAUAAAUAAAUAAUUACCUUGCGUGAGCACAGGCAUGUGUUGUGCAUGCGUACGUUAUGUAGUACAGAUACUGAAUUGCGUGACCUAAAUAUGCAGUGGGUCGAGUGAAUUGAUUCAGGUAACUGACACAGCGUUCACUUGUCAUGGUUAUGGCGAUGCUGUCCCGGCCGCUAUAUCUUGCAAUGGAACAUCUUUAACAAAUCCGUGGAUCCAGACUAUAAGCUGCAUCACUGCCAAAAUCUAAUGAGGUGGUCCUCGUGUCAUUUCUGACCUUCCCUGAAAAUUUCAUCCAAAUCCAUUUGUCUGUUUUAGAGUAAUGUUGCAGACGGACAGACAGAUUCACAGACAGACAUAUGCAGAUCAUCACAUAAACUCCGCCGUUCCUUGGCGGAGUAAUAAGCAAAUUGACACCAAGAGGAAAGCCACCCUGCAUAUGUUCACUAUAUUUGGCUCAACAUACAGCUGUAAGCCAGCUUCUCAACUAUGAAUGUAAUCCAAACUUAAUAUGGUUCCAGACUCACCAGUGAGCUCCAAAUGUGUUUUGAGAAUGACCCUGACACCAUUCAGACCACGAUUCAAAGCAGCAGGGGUAUAAGGGGAGUGAUGUAAGACAGAAAAAAAAUGUAAGUGUUCAACUGUUUACAUUUUUUGAGAUUUAGGUAUUGUUAAAGAUGUAUAGAAGUUGGUUCAGGUUGUUCAGUCAUUAUUUUUCACUUUAUUUUCAGAUGUGUAUAUCAAAAGUUAUUUAUUAGACACUAAUAUAACUACUAGUUUACAUCAACAUAUAUCACACUAAUUCAAGUUAGACAUUAGGAUUUUCUGCACCUUUGCUUUAAUAUAUUUUCUCUGACCAGAUCUCUUUGAAUUUUAGUUGAAUACCCCUGCGCUAAACAGCAUGUUGGCCCUCUUUUUGAAUACAAAAAAACCCAAAGACGGAACAGUCCACCAACUUACAGUAAUAUGAACACUCUGCAAGAAGAAGCUUUCUUUUCACCGAAGCACAGGUGUUUAAUAAACAUGUUAGGUGCAUAUAUAUUCCCUUCUUUCUUGAAUCUGUUGGCUCACGCAAAAUGAACGCGAUUAAUAUAGAUUUACAAGAAUGAUAUUUAAUCAAGAUUAAUCUAAAUUGAUCUACAGCAACCCCAGUGAUUAAUCUGAUUGAACUUUUUAAUUGUUUGACAGCACUAAUUGAAAUAUAUCUGCUUUUCACAACCCUAAAUAAUAGUUGACAUAUAGAUUUAAAGGAUGUCAAAUAUAACACAAGACAAUUAAAAGAUGAAUACUAAAUUCUAAAUAUAUUCACCUAUCAUCGAAAAUGAAAACAAGCUGCUUAAUACACUUCUUUUCUUGAAUGCUACUACCUAGAACAUUAAUUGUUGGUGUCAUAAUGAAAACACUUCUCUUAGAUUCUGCUCUAAGUUGGUAUGAUUGCGUCACAUAAUUUGUACAGAUUUGUCAAUGGCAAAUUCAUGCUGGCCAACUCCCACUCUACCACAUUCCACAGUGUUCUAAUGAAUUCAGAUCUAGGGCCUGAGGAGGCAAGUGAAGUCCACAGAACUCAGUGUUGUGGUCAUGAAACCAGUUUGAGUUGACUUUUGCCUACUUUGCCUAGACAUUUUAUAUCUAGACAUUUUUUGAUUGGUCUUUAUCACAAAGACCAAUCAUUUUGUUUCUUGUCUGUUGUAUGUCCUCUAGGGCUUUUGUAAAUAUGACAAAGUCUGCUGGGUAACAAAAAUACAUAAAAAAUAAAAUACAGCAAUGCUAAUUUUUGUUUGAAUGUCCCUUUUCACCUCAGCUAGGCGCUUUUGGUAGCUGUAAACAAGCUUCUUACAAGCCUCUGGUUUUAUCUUUGACCACACCUCUUGACAAAAUUAGUAUAGUUCAACUAAAUUCGAUGACUUUCUGACGCAGACUUGUUUGUCCAUCACAGUCUACUGAUUCUUGAUGGGUUUAGGUCAGGACUUUGGGGAGACCAGUCUAUAAUUGUGAUUUUAGCCCUAUUUAGCCAUUUGUUACUACUUUUGAUAUGUGUUUGGGGUCAUUGUCUUGUUAGAACACCCAGCUGGGUCCAAGACCCAUCCUUCUGGCUGAUGAUUUUAGGUUUUUCUGAGAAAUGUUGAGGUAAUUGACCUGUCCAGGGUGUCCCCUGCCUUCGCCCCAAGUCAGCUGGGAUAGGCCCCAGCCCCCCCGCAACCCUAAUGAGGAUCAAGUGGUGUAUAGAUAAUAGACGGAUGUUGAGGUAAUUCUACUUCUUAUUGCAUUUAUUUUCUGUCAAGCACCAGUUCCACUGGCACCAAAACAGCCCCAGAGCAUAAUACUACCACCACCAUGCUUACAGACAGUGGGCAUGGUGUUUUUGGGGUAAGGCUGUCUCUUCUAGAUAGAUAGAUAGAUAGAUAGAUAGAUAGAUAGAUAGAUAGAUAGAUAGAUAGAUAGAUAGAUAGAUAGAUAGAUAGAUCAAACCUUUAUCGAUCCCACAGGGGGAAAUUUACAAUGUAACAGCAGCAGAUGGAACAGAAUAAAAAAGAGAGCAGCACACAAUGCACACAGUGCAUAGAUAUAAAUAUUUUCUCCUUCUAGAAGAAAAAAUACAAUAUUUACAGCAACAUUCUUAUGAAAUUGCACAGCACCAUUAUGUACAUUUUUAUUGCACAGUUUGUAGGUGGGUGAACUGAGCUACUGGGAGCAGGCUUGAUUGUAAAGUCUGACUGCAGCAGGAAAGAUGGACCUGCGGUAUCUCUUCUUUACACCGUGGGUGAAGCAGUCUGUCACUGAAGGUGCUGCCCAGUGAUGAUACUGUUUCCUGCAGGGGGUAGGAGGUGUCCUCCAUGAUAGACAACAGCUUUGUCAUCAUCCUCCUGUCUCCCACCACCUCCACAGGAUCAAGGGUCCUCUGACCUUUCUUACAAAAUGCGUUGGUGUCCAGUCCAGUUUGUUGUUUAAGUGAACAAUGUCCGUUCCCUGGAUGUUCACUGGUGAAGGAGAAGUGUGUCUGUUCCUGCUAAAGUCCACCACCAGUUCCUUGGUUUUCACCGCAUUGAUCUGGAGGCAGUUCAACAGGCACCAGUCCACAAAGUCCCGGUUAAGUUCUCUGUACUCCUCCUCAUCUCUGUGAUGAGGCCGAUGAUGGCGGAGUCGUCAGAGAACUUCUGAAGAUGGCAGUUUGUGGUGUGAUGGGAGAAGUCUGCUGUGUAGAGGGUGAAAAGAAAGGGGGCAAGGACAGUCCCCUGCGUGGCCCUCCUACUGCAGACCACAGUGUCGGACACACAGUCCCCUGGCCUCACAAACUGUGGCCGGUUGGUAAAGUAAUCCAGCAGCCGCAUUGUGAGGUGAGAGUCUACUCCUGUCUGCUCCAGCUUGUCCCCCAGAAGCGCAGGCUUGAUGGUGUUGAAGGCACUGGAGAAAUCAUAAAACAUGAUUCUCACAGUGCUCUUCGUCUUCUCCAGGUGAGAGAGACAUCUGUGCAGGAGGUAAAUCACUGCAUCAUCAACCCCAAUGCCAGGCUGGUAGGCAAACUGCAGUGAGUCCAAACAUUUUGGGAGUUGGGGCAAAAUAGCUAAAUUUUUGCUUCAUCUAACCAGAGAACUUUCAGCCAAGGAUAUUUUUUUUGACCAUGUGAUCAGAGCAAAUUCAUUUAAGCCUUGAGGUGUCAUUUCUAGAGGAAGGGCUUUCUUCUUGCAUGGCAGCCUCUAAGUCCGUGUAGAUGUAAAACACAUUUGACUGUGGGCACUGACGCUUGUGCUCCAACAGCUGCUCAUUCAUUGCAGACCUGCUUUUUAGUGAUUCUUGUUUUACUCUUGACCAUCCUGACCAACUGUCACUCCGCAGCAGGUGAUAGCUUUUGUUUUCUUCCUGAUCAUGGCAGUGACACAGCUGUGCUAUACUAUGCACUUCAUACUAAAAAAACAAUUGCUUGCACAGUUGAUUUUGGGAUCUGUAGCCAAUUUGAAAUGGCGCCAAAUGACUUUCCUGGCUUGUUGAAGGCAAGGACCACAAAGCUCAACAGAGUUGUGACUGUCUCGCCACAGUGCUGGCACAAACCCUGUGAUUGUUACGAUUUCCCUCAGGUAAAGAUAAUAUAUAGUUCUGCUUUCCAGACUAAGUGAAAUUCCUUUUUAAUGAGUAGAAUGUCCCUGUCUACCCAGCUUUUGCAAAGUCAGCUUUAAAGUGCACAUUUGUGAAUUAUACCAAGGAGCUAGCCCUCUGAUUUAUUGCCUUCUUUUUCAGAGGAGCAAAAGUUUUGAGUACUGUAUGCAGUGAUGUUUCAGCCCUAUCAACAAGAUAGUUAAUUUGAGUGAUGUUAAGAUAGCCGCCCUCCAUUGUUUUGGGACAUGGCAAUAAAUAAAUAUACACAGUAAAUGAUAAUGGAAUAAUUUAGUUUCUGCAUUAUCAGAUUAACAUCUACCGUAAUGGAACACAGUAUUCAGGAUUUUAAUGAGGAAGACUGAUGAGUUAUUUGAAAACAAGGUGAUUGUUACGGGAAGGGGUCAUAGGACCCAGGUGCAGACAGAAAAUGACAGACAGGUAAUAUAUAUAUGAAAGAGGGGCUUUAUUAAACAAGCAACUAACCAAUACAGAAAGUAGGGAACUGAAUUGAGGGAGAAAUUAAACCAAACUGUCUACAAAAGUUAGAACUAACUAAACUAACUAACAACUAACAACUAACUAAAUGUGAAAACCUACAAAACUAAAGCUGAAUUAACUAAACCAGACGGAGUACUCACAAGAAGGGGGGAGCUGAAAAUGUUUUGUGAUUAAUCACAUGAUUUUGUUUGAUGAAUCACGAUCAAUCGCAUUGUUAUGUGUAAAGUUAAAUAAUUUAAAAGUAGUGUGUUCUGCACUUGUAUUUUAAAAAUACUGCUAUAUGAACAGAAUUGUAAUCACAUUUGGAUUGCAAACGUGUGAAACAAAUAAAAUGCUUUUUAACAGCAGUAUUCCCUUUACACACUAUCAGUUUAAACAGUUCUUGUAAAUCUCAACCUAAACAUUAAUGUAAUUAAAUCAAAUAAAAUCAAAGCUAUUUGCCACAGCAAGAGCAUUAACAUUUUAUCUAAUUUGUUAUAGAAAAACAAGUUACCCUCAGAGUCCAGAGCCAUGAUCAUAACAUUAUAACAGGAACCUUCGUAGCAACAGCGAGUUAACAUUUCUAAAUCUGUAUUCUUAUUUUUUCUGAACAGGUACCAGCAGAAACAUUUUUUCUUUUAUCAGGGAGCAGCAUAAACAGUCUAUGUUCAGAAGUAGCUCUCCCUGUUAGAGGUGAAGUGGUUGAACACAAAAAAAUACACAGCUGGGACUGAAAGUGCAGAAGAUUUUUAGUCUAUGAAAUCCAUGUUUGUACUUCUUUUUUUGGUCUUUUUAGGCUUUAAUACAUAGGACAGUGGAGACAAAUGUCACAGCGAAGUAGUUAGCUAUAGACUGCAGGCUGAUUAAUAUUUUGGAAGAUGUCGAUCUGAGAAAGGUUAGUAGGAUCGUAACAAAUGACGGCACCCAUGAGCCUCAGUCUGCAUCACUUCAAGGUUUUUGUUGUGUGUGAUGAUAUAAACCGGGACUAUAGUCCCUGGCCCAGCGGUCAUGGGUUCGAGUCUGUCCCACAGCCAUUAGCUUGUCUUGUCUUAAUUUAUCUCUAUUUCUUCCACGCGCGGCAUCCAACUAGCCUGCCAAACCCUCCCUCAACUGUUAGUUUGGGUGAGACGUGAUUGCGCCCAUCCCAAAUACUGAUCAACAUCCCACCCCUCCUGUGACCCAUGGUUUGUCUGUAUGUGUAUUCAGAGCCAGUGAGCAACGGGCUUUCACAAAAAUAAUGUAGUGACCCUCUGUGAUGAAUGAGUGAGAUUUUAUCUCGUUCUCCGGUCGUUUAUUGAACCUUCACACAGGUUACUGUAGAUAGUAGCCAACACCAAAAUAACUACAAAAACAUUAUAACUUAGCUCCAGAAUUAGCCGCAGUUCCCAGCUCUCUCUUGCUUGACACACACACCAGCACGGAGCAACACACACACACACUACUGCUGACCAGGUGUGGACUGGCCAUCUGGUAUACCGGACACUGUCCUGGUGGGCCAGUUUCUAGCAGGGCCGGGUCAACAGGUUCCCCCGAACAUCUAAUCAGUAAAUUGUAAUCAGAUUUUGAAUUGAACCAGUCACUUCUAUUUUACCGUCGCAACUUUUUCAGUGUUUACAGCAUUGGUUAUCAGCUCAGGAAACACACAGACCAAUUACGUACGAGUUCAGACAUCCCACAUGAUGCUACUCAGCCAAUGAAAUCUCUGCAUUGCAGCCGCUAAAGUUUAGCAGCUAAACAUCGAAGCUCUACAUUCAGAAAACAGUUGAGAGGUGAGGGAAAGAGGAGAGGAGGACAGACAAAAUAGAAAGACAAAUAACGUGACAUCAAGAAGAAAGUAGCCCUGCACAUGCUGACUAUGUUCAGCUAAACAAACAGCUGCGAGGCAGCUUUCUCAAUGAUGAACAUAAUCAAAACAAAAUAUGGUUCCAGACUCACUAAUGAGCUUCAAAUGUGUUUGAGAAUGACCCUGACACCAUUCAGGCCACAAUUCAAAAUACUGGCAGGCCAAGCUGCAGCUCAGUUCUCCCAUUAAGCAGCAGGGAUAUAAGGGGAGUGAUGUAAAACCAUAGACUACAUAUAAAGAUGGACAUAGCUACCGUGACGUCACCUGUUGGUUUCUGCACUGAGAAAAUGAAGCCCGGAUUUUGCUACUUCCUGGUUGACAUCUUGGAGCCAGAGAUGAAAAAGAUUCUCAGAGGGCGGAGCCAGAGAGCAGUGAUUGAUCAGACUGACUGAGAGCUGAGAACCCUCCGUCCCGCCCACAUUUACCGUCUUCUGCUGUUUACCGAUGCUGCUGGUAACAAUGUUAGGCCCCAAAUGUGGAGCUAAACUCUACAGCCUUGGUCUGGAUCAUUGGGACUAUCUAGUCUGAUGCAGACUGAGAGCUACAGAGAACAUGAACAUCCAGCUGUGGUUGUCUGAGGUGAAGAGUCUUUUCUUCUCCUUCAUCACUGAGAGGAAGAGCAGCACUGAUGUCCUCAUCAUCCUUCCAGUAAUAACAACGUUGCAGAUUCAGCUCCUCUUCAUAAUACAUCUUGUCUUGUGACUUGUCUUAUUCAGUAUUUACACUCCACUGUCAGCAACACAUUAUUUAUUUCAUACAUUUAUUACAUGUGUUCACACAUCUUAGGGAAUAAUGAAGCUGUUGCCCUGAAUGUGUUGAUGUUUUAAUACAGCAUACCUGCUAUUAAUAACAUGGACUUUGUUGUAUUUUUGCUCCAACAGCAGAGGUGAAGUUAAAGGUGAUAAAUAGAACCUGUGAAUACUAAGAACAGAGAGUAAUAAACAGCUGAAACAGCU